CCUACGGGAGGCAGCAGUAGGGAAUCUUCCACAAUGGGCGAAAGCCUGAUGGAGCACCGCCGCGUGGGUGAAGAAGGUCUUCGGAUCGUAAAACCCUGUUGUUAGAGAAGAAAGUGCGUGAGAGUAACUGUUCACGUUUCGACGGUAUCUAACCAGAAAGCCACGGCUAACUACGUGCCAGCAGCCGCGGUAAUACGUAGGUGGCAAGCGUUAUCCGGAUUUAUUGGGCGUAAAGGGAACGCAGGCGGUCUUUUAAGUCUGAUGUGAAAGCCUUCGGCUUAACCGGAGUAGUGCAUUGGAAACUGGGAGACUUGAGUGCAGAAGAGGAGAGUGGAACUCCAUGUGUAGCGGUGAAAUGCGUAGAUAUAUGGAAGAACACCAGUGGCGAAAGCGGCUCUCUGGACUGUAACUGACGUUGAGGCUCGAAAGCGUGGGGAGCAAACAGGAUUAGAUACCCCUGUAGUC
rnacentral:rRNA from 1 species